rnacentral:SRP_RNA from 1 species
GUCAGGCGUUGUGGUGGGCGCCUGUGGUCCCAGCUACUUGGGAGGCUGAGGCAGGAGACUCGCUUGAGCCCAGGAGUUGGAGGUUGCUGUGAGCUGUGAUGCCAUAGCACUCUACCCAGGGGGAUAACUUGAGGCUCUGUCUCAAAAAAAAAAAAAGAAACAGAACAGAGCCUCAAGCUGUCAGCCUGGGUAGAGUGCUGUGGCAUCAUCACAGCUCACAGCAACCUCCAACUCCUGGGCUCAAGCGAUUCUCCUGCCU